GCAGCUGAGGCAGAAGCUCCCAGGUCAGGGAUGGAACUCAUGCUACAGCUGUAAUCAGAGCCACAGCAGUGACAAUGCUGGAUCCCUAACCUGCUGAGCCACAAGAUAACUCCUCUUCUAGUUCUUUUUUUUUUCUCUUCUAGUUCUUUAGACAUGGUUUCCUUUAGCUUUGUGAACAUAUUUAAAAUAUCUUAAAGUCUAUGUAAUAAGUCCAACAUAUGGGCUUCCUCAGAAAUAUUUUCUGUUGACUGCUUUUUCCUCCAUAUAUGGGCCAUAGAUUCUUUGGCAUGUGGAAGUUCUUGGGUCAGGAUGGAACCCAUGCCACAGCAGCAACCCAAGCCACUCCAGUGACAGCACUGGAUCCUUAACCUGCUGUGCCAUAAAGGAACUUUGAGCCAUACAUUCUUAUUUCUUUGCAUAUAUCAUCCAAGUUUUUUAUUUUGAAAAAGAGACAUUUUGAAUACUAUAAUGUGACUCCUCUGGAAACUGGGUUCAACACCGUCCCCAGGGUUUAUGCUCUUUUUGUUUAUUGUAGUAGUUGUUGUUUUUGUGACUUUUCGGAAUUCAUUUUUUGUUUCAGGGCCACACCUGAGGCAUAUGGAAACUCCCAAGCUAUGUGUCAAAUCAGAGCUGCAGUUGCCAGCCACAGCCACAGCCACAUGGGAUCUGAGCUGAGUCUGCCACCUACACCACAGCUCAUGGCAAUGCCAGAUCCUUAACCCACUGAGCAAGGCCAGGACUGAACCCACAUCCUCAUGGAUACUAGUCAGGUUCAUAACCUGCUGAGCCACAACAGGAAUUCCCUGAAUUCAUUCUUCAGAGGGUUUUGUAUGUGUGUUGGGGCAUGACCUUGACAGUCAUCCAGGGAGUUUGCAACUCUUUCUUUAUAUUCACUUAUUUCUAGUUUAGAGCUUCAAGGUUAGCUAGAGGUAAGAGCUUAGUGCUUUCUCAGGUCUUUGCUGAGCAUUCACACAGCCCUAGCACUCACACAAUCCUAAGCCUGUAUGUUAUCUUCUAGGUUUCCAGAAAUAUGUCAGAGUUUUUCAAAGACCCUAUGGACAUCUCCCUUUAGUAUGGCUGGAGCAAGGUGCUUCAAAAUUGAGGGAUUUUUGAAUUUUGAACUGGGUGUUAUGGGGAGCCACUGAUGAAAUUUUACACAUAGAAGGGGCAUGACUUUUUUUUUUUUGUCUUUUUGCCUUUUCUUGAGCUGCUUCUGCGGCAUAUGGAGGUCCCAGGCUAGGGGUGGAAUCGGAGCUGUAGCCACCGGCCUACGCCAGAGCCACAGCAACGUGGGAUGCGAGCCUCAUCUGCAACCUACACCACAGCUCAUGGCAACGCUGGAUCUUUAACCCACUGAGCAAGGGCAGGGAUCGAACCCGCAACCACAUGGUUCCUGGUCGGAUUCGUUAACCACUGCACCACAAGAGGAACUCCAGAAGGGGCAUGACUUUAUUUGUAUAGUAGAAAGGACAUUUGCCAGUGGAGAGUGGAUUAAGACAGAAUGGAGGCAGGGAGAUCAAGGAGAUUACUGCAGUAUUCUAGGAAAAGAAUAAUGCAGGUUUGAGUUAAGGAGUAGAGAGUUGGAGUAGAGAGAAUGGAGAAAGGGGAGUGGUGGAUUGAAAAACUAUUUUAUAGAUUAGACCCUUCGUCAUUUCCAGAGUUUUUAAUUGGGAAGCCAGUGGGAAUAGGUGAAUAAGAGGUGGAAUUCUUUGAGGGGGAAAUUGGGUGUUAAUAUGCCACACAAACCGCUUUGGUUUCAUAUGGUAUAAUCUUCUUUUCCCUCCAUCCAGUAAAUUCUUGAUAUAGGAAUGCCUCGAAGAUGUUAGUUAUUUGUAAUAUAUCUGACAAAGUGAGAGGGACUUGGUAAAUGUGCUGCCCUAAAGAGAGCCUGUAGGGAAGUGAGAUAUAAACCUGUCAAUAGUUAUUUCUUGGGCAGUUUUGCUCUCUGAAAACCUAGCACAGAGCACAUAAUGGGCAAAACGUUACUGUUGAUGGUAGUUACCCGGAGAAACGUGAGGAAAUGAUUUCUUAAACUUGUAAAUUGCAUUGAGCUUAAAAUAGAUGGUUUUACUAUUUAGGAAAUUUUGGUUUUCCUUGAAAUUCAAUCUCUGCAAAGCGGUAAAGACAAGAAGGUGGGUAUUAUGUCGUAUGGAAAAAAGUAUUCCACUGUUUCCCACUCUUCACACCCCUCCCUUUUCAAUUUUGCUUCUCAGGUAACCAAGUUAAGUUUAGUUCAAGGGAACCUUUUCGUUUUUAAGAAGGGCCGCGGGUGGACACCAAAACGUAAAGGGUACUGGUCUUCGCAUACCUGCAGUUCCAUUUCCUAACCAGUCACCUCCCAGGCUGUGUAGGCCUGCGUCCCGGAUCUCGGAGUUCGCAGAACGCGCAGAAGUGGGAAGGGAGAGGCGGGAGCAGAAAAGGGAGGAUGUCGGAGGUGCAGGAGCGGUCUCGGCGCUAACUUCCGCUCCG
ensembl:lncRNA